rnacentral:rRNA from 1 species
AGUGAACGCUGGCGGUAGGCCUAACACAUGCAAGUCGAACGGCAGCACAGUAAGAGCUUGCUCUUACGGGUGGCGAGUGGCGGACGGGUGAGGAAUACAUCGGAAUCUACUUUUUCGUGGGGGAUAACGUAGGGAAACUUACGCUAAUACCGCAUACGACCUACGGGUGAAAGCAGGGGAUCUUCGGACCUUGCGCGAUUGAAUGAGCCGAUGUCGGAUUAGCUAGUUGGCGGGGUAAAGGCCCACCAAGGCGACGAUCCGUAGCUGGUCUGAGAGGAUGAUCAGCCACACUAGAACUGAGACACGGUCCAGACUCCUACGGGAGGCAGCAGUGGGGAAUAUUGGACAAUGGGCGCAAGCCUGAUCCAGCAAUACCGCGUGGGUGAAGAAGGCCUUCGGGUUUUAAAGCCCUUUUGUUGGGAAAGAAAAGAAGCGGAAUAAUACCCCGCUGUUCUGACGGUACCCAAGGAAUAAGCACCGGCUAACUUCGUG